rnacentral:misc_RNA from 1 species
GAUGAAGAACGUAGCGAAAUGCGAUACGAAUGUGAAUUGCAAAUUCAGUGAAUCAUCGAGUCUUUGAACGCACAUUGCGCCCCCUGGUAUUCCGGGGGGCAUGCCUGUCCGAGCGUCAUUGCUGCCCUCAAGCACGGCUUGUGUGUUGGGCCCCGUCCUCCGAUCCCGGGGGACGGGCCCGAAAGGCAGCGGCGGCACCGCGUCCGGUCCUCGAGCGUAUGGGGCUUUGUCACCCGCUCUGUAGGCCCGGCCGGCGCUUGCCGAUCAACCCAAAUUUUUAUCCAGGUUGACCUCGGAUCAGGUAGGGAUACCCGCUGAACUUAAGCAUAUCAAUAAGCGGAGGA